rfam:Picea glauca, whole genome shotgun sequence.
GCCUGUAGUACAGUGGUGAGUAUUCCCGCAUGUCACGCGGGUGACCCGGGUUCGUUCCCCGACAACGGCA